CUUCAUUUUGAAGUUCGGGCAAAUCAAAGACACCAAUUAAAACGCAUGUCGCUAAACUAAAGAAAUGAUGAUUCAAUGGUGUCAUAGGCGUAGAAGACGAAGAAAGAAUCGUUGCCAUUUUCAUGGCAGGAACAAGUACAGUAGACGGUCUAGCAUUGAUGCACAACUCCAAUAAAACCUUCACAUGGGUAACCGCCAAUGUCAAUAAAUUCAUCUGUCCCCAAACGACAUCAACACUUUGACGAAAAGCAUCAAUCUCAGAGCGAAGCUGUUGAGUAACGAUUGGACUUUGUCGAUCGGUAGGAUCUGGUGACUGGAAAACAUCAGAAAUGUGUCCCACUAUCAAUGAUAAGCGUACAAGUUGACUAGGGAAAGUGCCUAAAAGUUUUUGAUCUUGUAUGGUCAGAUUUAUGAAUGUCUCAGGAAGGAAUAGAGGAGAACAUGUAGACAUUGAAUGCCAUCUAUCUAAAACAACCAGCACCCACCACGCGCGGCGACAUAACGCUUCGUCACUGUCCAUGUCUUCAUUAAUUGACUGCAAAGAUAAAUGCGAUUGAAUAUGAAGUCUCAUGUUACAGGCUAAUCCAAUAGCAGCGCCUAGCCACAUUCCCUGUGGUAAUCCAUUUCGACCAGUAAUAGUAGUAGGUCCACGCUGAUCACUUUCAAUAGCAAGUAAAAUCAUA